rnacentral:pre_miRNA from 1 species
AUGUGCAUCACCUGAUGAUCUUGUUAAAAAGAAGAUUCUGAUUCAGUAGGUCUGAUAUUCUGCAGUUCCAUCAAGCUCUCAGGUGAUGCUGAU